rnacentral:rRNA from 1 species
AUGUGAGAUGCAGUGUAUGGAAUGUCAAAUUUCUAGUAUGAGAAAUUAACGAUUUAAGUCCUUCUUAAAUGAGGCCAUUUACCCAAAGAGGGUGCCAGGCCCGUAUAACGUUAAUGAUUACUAGAUGACAUUUCCAAAGAGUCGUGUUGCUUGAUAGUGCAGCACUAAGUGGGUGGUAAACUCCAUCUAAAACUAAAUAUAACCAUGAGACCGAUAGUAAACAAGUACCGUGAGGGAAAGUUGAAAAGAACUCUGAAUAGAGAGUUAAAUAGUACGUGAAACUGCUUAGAGGUUAAGCCCGAUGAACCUGAAUAUCCAUUAUGGAAAAUUCAUCAUU